GACCGGAUGUUUAUUUUGUAGCAGAGCAUGCAGCAGCAGUAGUGCUGCACCACCGGCCGACCCGGUGGCCGCGUACCUCGUGGUGGCCUUUGGCGGCGGCGAGGUGGAGCGGCGAGCUGAGGCUGCCGAAGGCGGCGCAGCGGGCGAGCCCCGGGUUGGCGUCCAGCAGCCGCCGCACCUCCGCCGCGUCGCCGUCCCUGGCGCCGGCCGCCAGCCGCUCGCCGAGCCCCGCGCACCCGAGGGCGUUUCCCAUGCGCGCGCGAGUACUCGAGGGGUAGCUCCGCUCCUGCCGGUGAGCUAGCUAGCUAAGCUUCGUUCGACCUGGAGCUGCUGGCCAGUUAGCUAGCUCUAGCUCGCGAGUGGUUGCAGCUAGCCAACCAGCCUGGAGGCGGGGAGGAGGAGGCGCGUGUAUGUACGUGGCGGCGCUCGACGAUCACGCUGCAAACGCGCGCGUGAGGAGCCGAGCUGCCCGGGGCCGGGCCGGGCGUUGGCGAUGGCCGCCGCGCGCUAGCUAUCGCCUGGCCUGGCGGGCGGCGA
rnacentral:misc_RNA from 1 species